UGAAAUCUCAGGGCUCAACCCUGAAACUGCGUCUGAAACUGCUAGUCUGGAGUGUUGGAGGGGACAGGGGAAUUUCACGUGUAGGGGUAAAAUCCGUAGAGAUGUGAAGGAACACCGGGGGCGAAGGCGCCUUCCUGGACGACUACUGACGCUGAGGCGCGAAAGCGUGGGGAGCAAACAGGAUUAGAUACCCUGGUAGUCCACGCCGUAAACGAUGAACACUAGUUAUUGGGGGUAUUGACUCCCUCAGUGACGCAGCUAACGCAUUAAG
rnacentral:rRNA from 1 species